UGAGAGACAUUAUUUAAACAAGGAGAAAUCAGAUGGCAAAGUCGUAGAUAAACACCAAAUCCAAGGGUAAUAAUAAUCAAUACCCCUCUCUCCAGAGAAGCGUAUAGCAACCAACCCCCAAAUGAGUUGCAACAAAAAAAAAUUGCAAAUUACAAAUUGCAGAGAGAAAGAGAUCUGAGCAAAAAAAGCUUUUAUAAGGCUUUUAAUGGCGAAGUAAGCACCCUAGCCGCUAGAUCGAACCUUCCUCAGACGAUUAUUGUCAACCGUUGGCAUUUUCUCUUCCUCAUAUUCCUUUCUCCGUGUUUUUGGAUCGGGUCUGGGAGAGAGAAUCAAAGCCCCUCCGUGUUUCGUCUUCUUCGAGCCUCCCUCCUCAGGUGACUUUUCCUUUUUUUUUUCACGUUUUGUUAUGAGGUUAGAAUAUAGAUAAAAAAAAAAAAAUACAACUUUCGUUUUUGCUAUUAGAUUUGAUGAAUUAUUAUUUUUUUCCGUAAUCUAUAGGUUGUUUUUAGUCCUGAGACUCUUCUCCUCUCUUAAAGGUCAUAUCUUUACUUGAGAGAGAGCAAAGUCUCUACUAAUGGAAGGAAGUAAAGCUUGAAAGAGACAGAACCUGACUUCUUUAGAUAACACAAGUGAAGCAGCUGCCCCGCCCCACCCUAUGGAGGAUUACUCAAAGUACACACAUAGUCCUGCUCAUCUAGCCGUCGUGCUUCACGACCACGCGGCUCUUAGACGAAUCGUCAUUGACCUCCCCAGCUUAGCCAAGGCCGGCGAGGUUACCAACGAGGCUGAGUCUUUAGAAGCCGAGUCACGCGCCGA
rnacentral:lncRNA from 1 species